rnacentral:lncRNA from 1 species
CGCCCCUCUACAUAAACACACACUCAAAACCAUAUAAAACAAAUACCCCCUGCCACGUCCUGACCAAACUCUAAUUACAAAUAACCCCUUACUGGUCAGGACGUGACAGUUCUGUCUUUUCAGGUGGAUUAAACUGAAAUUGCAACAAACUUUCUAUGGCUUGUUUAAAAAAUAAUGAUAUUUUGGAGAUUAUUUAAUUUUCAAAUAACCGAAAGUGAGCGGUUGUGAUCUGAAUAAAGGGAAAAAGGCCAUUCUUGAACAUGGGGUGAGACAUUCUUACUAAUUUACUAGAGAAUCAUUUCGGGUUUUAGGAAUAACUUUUGUAUGACUGACAGAGGUGGGACUAGGUAAUUGGUUUACAAGUCACAAGUAAGUCUCAAGUCUUAGCACUCAAGUCCCAAGUCAAGUCCCAAGUCAAGACAGGCAAGUCCGAGUCAAGUCUCAAAUCAAGAGCGUCAAGUAUCAAGUCAAGUCUCAAGUCCCAAAGGAACGUCUUGAUUAGUGUUAUGUUAGCUAGCUACAUAGUUGCCUUUGUAUCAUGAUAAUGUGUAGCACUGAAACUAUCGAGGUUACCUAGCCAGCUACACUUUCAAACAAAGUCAACAACGCAGCCACUGCUAGCUAGCCUACUUCACCAGCCAGCAGUACUGUAUCAUUUUAAUCAUUUUAGUCAAUAAGAUUUUUGCAACGUAAGCUUAACUUUCUGAACAUUCGAGACGUGUAGUCCACUUGUCAUUCCAAUCUCCUUUGCAUUAGCGUAGCCUCUUCUGUAGCCUGUCAACUAUGUCUCUGUCUAUCCCUGUUCUCUCCCCUCUGCACAGGCUAUACAAACGAUUCACACCGCGUGGCCGCUGCCACUCUAACCUGGUGGUCCCAGCGCGCACGACCCACGUGGAGUUCCAGGUCUCCGGCAGCCUCUGGAACUGCCGGUCUGCGGCCAACAAGGCAGAGUUCAUCUCAGCCUAUGCUACCCUCCAGUCCCUCGACUUCUUGGCGCUGACGGAAACAUGGAUUACCACAGAUAACACUGCUACUCCUACUGCUCUCUCCUCGUCUGCCCACGUGUUCUCGCAUACCCCGAGAGCAUCUGGCCAGCGGGGUGGUGGCACUGGAAUCCUCAUCUCUCCCAAGUGGACAUUCUCUCUUUCUCCCUUGACCCAUCUGUCUAUCGCCUCCUUUGAAUUCCAUGCUGUCACAGUUACCAGCCCUUUCAAGCUUAACAUCCUUAUCAUUUAUCGCCCUCCAGGUUCCCUUGGAGAGUUCAUCAAUGAGCUUGACGCCUUGAUAAGUUCCUUUCCUGAGGAUGGCUCACCUCUCACAGUUCUGGAUGAAAUCUCGCGUCUUGUGACGGCCGGCCGCCCAACAACCUGCCCG